GACGAACGCUGGCGGCGUGCCUAAUACAUGCAAGUCGAGCGAAGUCUUUCUGGUGCUUUCCCUAGACAAACUUAGCGUCGCACGGGUGAGUAACACGUAACGAACCUUCCUCUUUGAUUGGGACUACUAUUGGAAACCAUACCUAAUACCGGCUUACAGUAUUUCUCGCAUGACAGAUAUUUAUAAGUUGUUUCUCCUAUCACUAUGCGAUUUCUUUGCGGUGCAGUAGAGAGUUUGUGGGGUAAACGCCCACCAAGGCGACGAUUCAUAUCCGACCUGAGAGGGGGAUCAGCCACACUGGGACUGAGACACGGCCCAGACGCCUACGGGAGGCAGCAGUAGGGAAUAUUACGCAAUGGGCGAAAGCCUGACGGAGCAACGCCGCGUGAGUGAAGAAGGAGUUCGGUGCGUAAAACGCUGUUGUUAGGGAAAAAUGAAAAUGUAGUAAAAAGACAUGUAAGAGACGGUACCUAACCAGAAAGCGACGGCUAACUACGUG
rnacentral:rRNA from 1 species